rnacentral:rRNA from 1 species
AGAUUGAACGCUGGCGGCAUGCCUUACACAUGCAAGUCGAACGGUAGAGUAGCAAUACUCGAGAGUGGCGAACGGGUGAGUAAUAUAUCGGAACGUGCCCAGUCGUGGGGGAUAACGUAGAGAAAUUUACGCUAAUACCGCAUACGAUCUAAGGAUGAAAGCGGGGGAUCGCAAGACCUCGCGCGAUUGGAGCGGCUGAUAUCAGAUUAGGUUGUUGGUGAGGUAAAAGCUCACCAAGCCGACGAUCUGUAGCUGGUUUGAGAGAACGACCAGCCACACUGGGACUGAGACACGGCCCAGACUCCUACGGGAGGCAGCAGUGGGGAAUUUUGGACAAUGGGCGAAAAGCCUGAUCCAGCAAUGCCGCGUGCAGGAAGAAGGCCUCGGUGUAACUAG